CCUACGGGAGGCAGCAGUGAGGAAUAUUGGACAAUGGGCGCAAGCCUGAUCCAGCCAUGCCGCGUGCAGGAUGACGGUCCUAUGGAUUGUAAACUGCUUUUAUACAGGAAGAAACACUCCUUCGUGUAGUAGCUUGACGGUACUGUAAGAAUAAGGAUCGGCUAACUCCGUGCCAGCAGCCGCGGUAA
rnacentral:rRNA from 1 species